UGAACGCUGGCGGUAGGCCUAACACAUGCAAGUCGAACGGCAGCACAGUAAGAGCUUGCUCUUACGGGUGGCGAGUGGCGGACGGGUGAGGAAUACAUCGGAAUCUACUUUUUCGUGGGGGAUAACGUAGGGAAACUUACGCUAAUACCGCAUACGACCUACGGGUGAAAGUAGGGGAUCUUCGGACCUUGCGCGAUUGAAUGAGCCGAUGUCGGAUUAGCUAGUUGGCGGGGUAAAGGCCCACCAAGGCGACGAUCCGUAGCUGGUCUGAGAGGAUGAUCAGCCACACUGGAACUGAGACACGGUCCAGACUCCUACGGGAGGCAGCAGUGGGGAAUAUUGGACAAUGGGCGCAAGCCUGAUCCAGCCAUACCGCGUGGGUGAAGAAGGCCUUCGGGUUGUAAAGCCCUUUUGUUGGGAAAGAAAAGCAGCAGGUUAAUACCCCGCUGUUCUGACAGUACCCAAAGAAUAAGCACCGGCUAACUUCGUG
rnacentral:rRNA from 1 species